rnacentral:rRNA from 1 species
AGUGGCAGACGGGUGAGUAACAUGUGGGUAUCUACCCUUUGGCCUGGAAUAACACGAGGAAACUUGUGCUAAUACUGGAUAAGUCUUUACGGAGGAAGCUUUAUGCACCAUUGGAUGAGCCUGCACUUGAUUAGUUUGUUGGUGGGGUAAUGGCCUACCAAGACUGUGAUCAAUAGCUGAUUUGAGAGGAUGAUCAGCCACAUUGGGACUGAGACACGGCCCAAACUCCUACGGGAGGCAGCAGUGGGGAAUCUUGCACAAUGGAGGAAACUCUGAUGCAGCGAUGCCGCGUGAGUGAAGAAGGCCCUUGGGUUGUAAAGCUCUUUCGUCGGGGAAGAAAAUGACUGUACCCGAAUAAGAAGGUCCGGCUAACUUCGUGCCAGCAGCCGCGGUAAUACGAAGGGACCUAGCGUAGUUCGGAAUUACUGGGCUUAAAGAGUUCGUAGGUGGUUGAAAAAGUUGGUGGUGAAAUCCCAGAGCUUAACUCUGGAACUGCCAUCAAAACUUUUCAGCUAGAGUAUGAUAGAGGAAAGCAGAAUUUCUAGUGUAGAGGUGAAAUUCGUAGAUAUUAGAAAGAAUACCAAUUGCGAAGGCAGCUUUCUGGAUCAUUACUGACACUGAGGAACGAAAGCAUGGGUAGCGAAGAGGAUUAGAUACCCUCGUAGUCCAUGCCGUAAACGAUGUGUGUUAGACGUUGGAAAUUUAUUUUCAGUGUCGCAGCGAAAGCGAUAAACACACCGCCUGGGGAGUAC